rnacentral:rRNA from 1 species
UGGAUGAUGUGGAUUAAUUCGAUGCAACGCGAGAACCUUACCUACCCUUGACAUGUCCGGAACUUGCCAGAGAUGGCUUGGUGCCGAAAGGGAAUCGGAACACAGGUGCUGCAUGGCUGUCGUCAGCUCGUGUCGUGAGAUGUUGGGUUAAGUCCCGCAACGAGCGCAACCCUUAUCAUUAGUUGCUACGCAAGGGCACUCUAAUGAGACUGCCGGUGACAAACCGGAGGAAGGUGGGGAUGACGUCAAGUCCUCAUGGCCCUUAUGGGUAGGGCUUCACACGUCAUACAAUGGUCGGUACAGAGGGUUGCCAAGCCGCGAGGCGGAGCCAAUCCCACAAAGCCGAUCGUAGUCCGGAUUGUUCUCUGCAACUCGAGAGCAUGAAGUCGGAAUCGCUAGUAAUCGCAGGUCAGCAUACUGCGGUGAAUACGUUCCCGGGUCUU